rnacentral:rRNA from 1 species
UGGGGAAUUUUGCACAAUGGGGGAAACCCUGAUGUAGCGACGCCGCGUGAUUUAGAAGGCCUUCGGGUUGUAAAAAUCUUUUCUAUGGGAAGAAAAUGACAGUACCAUAGGAAUAAGGACCGGCUAAUUACGUGCCAGCAGCCGCGGUAAUACGUAAGGUCCUAGCGUUGUCCGGAAUCAUUGGGCGUAAAGGGUACGUAGGCGGGUAAGCAAGUUAGAAGUGAAAUCCUAUAGCUCAACUAUAGUAAGCUUUUAAAACUGCUCAUCUUGAGGUAUGGAAGGGAAAGUGGAAUUCCUAGUGUAGCGGUGAAAUGCGCAGAUAUUAGGAGGAAUACCGGUGGCGAAGGCGACUUUCUGGCCAUAACCUGACGCUGAGGUACGAAAGCGUGGGUAGCAAACAGG